CCAAUUAUAUCACAAUGUCUUCGAAGGGACCCGCCAAACAAACUUCCUAAAACCUAUUUUAGGUUGCAGGUGGAACGUUGUUGGGAUCUAUACACCUCUAAUUAGUAAUUACCACUUAUUCAUUUUAGGUCAUGGCUAUGAACAUGAAGCAAAUGUUAGUGUCAAAUGUGAAACUGAAUUCUGGUCAUGAAAUUCUGAACAGCACCUUCCUUACCACAACAUGAUGAAUUAGUGUCAACACUCAUAGAUGCCAUUGAAAUUGGUUAUCGUCACUUUAACACAGCCGCUGCCUAUGGCUCUGAGGAAGCACUUGGCCAAGCAGUGGCGGAAGCGAUACAACACGGACUCAUAAAUUAUGGUGCACGGAAACACAUCGGGACUUUGUUCUUCCUGCCUUAAAAAGAACUCUUGGGUGAAGAACAACAACAUACUCAGUGAAAUCCCAUAAAGUGAGGUCUGGAGAGGGUAGAGUGUACACAGACUUUAUCAGUAUCUCGUGGAGGUAGAGAGACGAUUUUCAAAAGACCCUAUCACUAUAGGUGAAGCAUACAAAAAUCAUAAAAGUAGAAUCCGAUAGAAACUUUCAAAAGUACAAUCCUGAUAUCUAAAUGAAAAUUUGUAUUUUCAUUGUUCA